CCACCUUUUACAAGGAAUGUGGUUCAAUAUUACACACCAGCUAGCCGUGCAGUUCGAUAGGGUACGCAACAGCUAACUGGAGAGUUUGAUUGGCUUUUACCCUAUGUUCAGAAACUGCUUGAUCAUCUCCUGUUCAAGAUGGGACCUACUAGAAUGAAGAUUCAAGAGGUGAUCUUCAUCUAAGCGUCCCAGGCCUAGAGAACCAAGAGGAAGUCCUGCAUUAGGUGGUUCUGGGUUUGGUCCUCGGAUACCGUCUCCGGGGAUUAGCUAUGUUAAGGUUUAAAGCUAUUUAAUGGGUUGAAAGUGUAGUUAGGCCAUUGGAGAUACCAAAACAGCUAUCAAACUUUUUGAUAUGUCAAAGCUUCAUGUUUCCAACAACUAAUGGUUGUUCUAUCCUAAAGACUUCUGGAUGGUCACUUGAAGAACAGAGAAAAGAUGAAGAACUCAACAAAAAAGUUGCUAUGGUGAGUGAUAAAUAUUAUAAGCAAACCUGGAGUAGCAUUGCACUGCUGGAUGAAGUGGUCUGUUCUCCUCCAUCAGAGUUUAAAGAAAAAACAGAAGAGUUUAUCACACAUCUGCUGAAACAAGAUCAAAAGACCUGUGAUAUGCUUGCUGAUCUGCAAAUUAAAACAAACAAUGAAAUUGCAUGGAAGAA